rnacentral:rRNA from 1 species
GUGGGGAAUAUUGGACAAUGGGCGAAAGCCUGAUCCAGCCAUGCCGCGUGUGUGAAGAAGGUCUUCGGAUUGUAAAGCACUUUAAGUUGGGAGGAAGGGCAGUAAGUUAAUACCUUGCUGUUUUGACGUUACCGACAGAAUAAGCACCGGCUAACUUCGUGCCAGCAGCCGCGGUAAUACGAAGGGUGCAAGCGUUAAUCGGAAUUACUGGGCGUAAAGCGCGCGUAGGUGGUUUUGUAAGUUGGAGGUGAAAUCCCCGGGCUCAACCUGGGAACUGCCUCCAAAACUGCAUGACUAGAGUACGGUAGAGGGUAGUGGAAUUUCCUGUGUAGCGGUGAAAUGCGUAGAUAUAGGAAGGAACACCAGUGGCGAAGGCGACUACCUGGACUGAUACUGACACUGAGGUGCGAAAGCGUGGGGAGCAAACAGGAUUAGAAACCCUAGUAGUCC